AUUGAACGCUGGCGGCAUGCUUUACACAUGCAAGUCGAACGGUAACAGGUUAAGCUGACGAGUGGCGAACGGGUGAGUAAUGCAUCGGAACGUGCCCGCUCGUGGGGGAUAACGCAGCGAAAGCUGCGCCAAUACCGCAUACGAUCUGAGGAUGAAAGCGGGGGACCCUAAGGCCUCGCGCGAUCGGAGCGGCCGAUGUCAGAUUAGGUAGUUGGUGGGGUAAAGGCUCACCAAGCCAACGAUCUGUAGCUAGUCUGAGAGGACGACCAGCCACACUGGGACUGAGACACGGCCCAGACUCCUACGGGAGGCAGCAGUGGGGAAUUUUGGACAAUGGGCGAAAGCCUGAUCCAGCAAUGCCGCGUGCAGGAAGAAGGCCUUCGGGUUGUAAACUGCUUUUGUACGGAGCGAAAAGGUCUCCUCUAAUACAGGGGGCUCAUGACGGUACCGUAAGAAUAAGCACCGGCUAACUACGUGCCAGCCGCCGCGGUAA
rnacentral:rRNA from 1 species